rnacentral:rRNA from 1 species
CACUGACCUCGGAUCAGGUAGGGAUACCCGCUGAACUUAAGCAUA